GGCUUCGGAGUGAUCGGGCUCGGCCCGAUCCUCCCACCCUUUGUGUACCUACCUCUGUUGCUUUGGCGGGCCGCGGUCCUCCGCGGCCGCCCCCCUCCCCGGGGGGGUGGCCAGCGCCCGCCAGAGGACCAUCAAACUCCAGUCAGUAAACGAUGCAGUCUGAAAAACAUUUAAUAAACUAAAACUUUCAACAACGGAUCUCUUGGUUCUGGCAUCGAUGAAGAACGCAGCGAAAUGCGAUAAGUAAUGUGAAUUGCAGAAUUCAGUGAAUCAUCGAAUCUUUGAACGCACAUUGCGCCCUUUGGUAUUCCGAAGGGCAUGCCUGUUCGAGCGUCAUUACAACCCUCAAGCUCUGCUUGGUAUUGGGCACCGUCCUUUGCGGGCGCGCCUCAAAGACCUCGGCGGUGGCGUCUUGCCUCAAGCGUAGUAGAACAUACAUCUCGCUUCGGAGCGCAGGGCGUCGCCCGCCGGACGAACCUUCGGAACUUUUCUCAAGGUUGACCUCGGAUCAGGUAGGGAUACCCGCUGAACUUAAGCAUAUCAAUAAGCGGAGGAA
rnacentral:rRNA from 1 species